rnacentral:tRNA from 1 species
GCGCGGGUGGUGGAAUGGCAGACACGCUAGUUUGAGGGGCUAGUGGUAGUGAUACCGUGCGGGUUCAAGUCCCGCCCCGCGCACCA